rnacentral:rRNA from 1 species
UGGGGAAUAUUGCACAAUGGGCGCAAGCCUGAUGCAGCAACGCCGCGUGAACGAUGAAGGUCUUCGGAUCGUAAAGUUCUGUUGCAGGGGAAGAUAAUGACGGUACCCUGUGAGGAAGCACCGGCUAACUACGUGCCAGCAGCCGCGGUAAUACGUAGGGGGCUAGCGUCAUCCGGAUUUACUGGGCGUAAAGGGUGCGUAGGUGGUCCUUCAAGUCGGUGGCUAAAGGCUACGGCUAAACCGUAGUAAGCCGCCGAAACUGGAGGACUUGAGUGCAGGAGAGGAAAGUGGAAUUCCCAGUGUAGCGGUGUAAUGCGUAGAUAUUGGGAGGAACACCAGUGGCGAAGGCGGCUUUCUGGACUGCAACUGACACUGAGGCACGAAAGCGUGGGUAGCAAACAGG